UACGGGGGGGGCAAGCGUUGUUCGGGAUUACUGGGCGUAAAGGGCCAGUAGGCGGCCAACUAAGUCCGACGUGAAAUCCCCAGGCUUAACCUGGGAACUGCGUCGGAUACUGGAUGGCUUGAAUUCGGGAGAGGGAUGCAGAAUUCCAGGUGUAGCGGUGAAAUGCGUAGAUAUCAGGAGGAACACCAAUUGCGAAGGCAGCUCGCUGGGACGUUACUGACGCUGAGACGCGAAAGCGUGGGGAGCAAACAGG
rnacentral:rRNA from 1 species